UGUUCUGUGGCUAGUUAAAGCGCCGGUCUAGCGAAUACGGAGUCGUGGGUUCGAAUCCCACCAGAACGC
rfam:Aedes albopictus isolate Foshan contig137560, whole genome shotgun sequence.